rnacentral:rRNA from 1 species
GACGAAGGGAGCAAGCGUUGCUCGGAAUAAUUGGGCGUAAAGGGUGCGUAGGCGGUUUUUUAAGUGAGACGUUAAAUACUUGGACUCAAUCUGAGAAAUGCGUUUUAGACUGGAAGACUUGAGUAUGGGAGAGGAAACAGGAAUUCCUCAAGUAGAGGUGAAAUUCAUAGAUAUGAGGAGGAACACCAGAAGCGAAGGCGAGUUUCUGGAACAUCACUGACGCUGAGGCACGAAAGCGUGGGGAGCAAACAGG